ACCAAGGGUUCCUGUCCAACGUUAAUCGGGGCAGGGUGAGUCGACCCCUAAGGCGAGGCCGAAAGGCGUAGUCGAUGGGAAACAGGUUAAUAUUCCUGUACUUGGUGUUACUGCGAAGGGGGGACGGAGAAGGCUAUGUUGGCCGGGCGACGGUUGUCCCGGUUUAAGCGUGUAGGCUGGUUUUCCAGGCAAAUCCGGAAAACUAAGGCUGAGGCGUGAUGACGAGGCACUACGGUGCUGAAGCAACAAAUGCCCUGCUUCCAGGAAAAGCCUCUAAGCAUCAGGUAACAUCAAAUCGUACCCCAAACCGACACAGGUGGUCAGGUAGAGAAUACCAAGGCGCUUGAGAGAACUCGGGUGAAGGAACUAGGCAAAAUGGUGCCGUAACUUCGGGAGAAGGCACGCUGAUAUGUAGGUGAAGUCCCUCGCGGAUGGAGCUGAAAUCAGUCGAAGAUACCAGCUGGCUGCAACUGUUUAUUAAAAACACAGCACUGUGCAAACACGAAAGUGGACGUAUACGGUGUGACGCCUGCCCGGUGCCGGAAGGUUAAUUGAUGGGGUCAGCGCAAGCGAAGCUCUUGAUCGAAGCCCCGGUAAACGGCGGCCGUAACUAUAACGGUCCUAAGGUAGCGAAAUUCCUUGUCGGGUAAGUUCCGACCUGCACGAAUGGCGUAAUGAUGGCCAGGCUGUCUCCACCCGAGACUCAGUGAAAUUGAACUCGCUGUGAAGAUGCAGUGUACCCGCGGCAAGACGGAAAGACCCCGUGAACCUUUACUAUAGCUUGACACUGAACAUUGAGCCUUGAUGUGUAGGAUAGGUGGGAGGCUUUGAAGUGUGGACGCCAGUCUGCAUGGAGCCGACCUUGAAAUACCACCCUUUAAUGUUUGAUGUUCUAACGUUGACCCGUAAUCCGGGUUGCGGACAGUGUCUGGUGGGUAGUUUGACUGGGGCGGUCUCCUCCUAAAGAGUAACGGAGGAGCACGAAGGUUGGCUAAUCCUGGUCGGACAUCAGGAGGUUAGUGCAAUGGCAUAAGCCAGCUUGACUGCGAGCGUGACGGCGCGAGCAGGUGCGAAAGCAGGUCAUAGUGAUCCGGUGGUUCUGAAUGGAAGGGCCAUCGCUCAACGGAUAAAAGGUACUCCGGGGAUAACAGGCUGAUACCGCCCAAGAGUUCAUAUCGACGGCGGUGUUUGGCACCUCGAUGUCGGCUCAUCACAUCCUGGGGCUGAAGUAGGUCCCAAGGGUAUGGCUGUUCGCCAUUUAAAGUGGUACGCGAGCUGGGUUUAGAACGUCGUGAGACAGUUCGGUCCCUAUCUGCCGUGGGCGCUGGAGAACUGAGGGGGGCUGCUCCUAGUACGAGAGGACCGGAGUGGACGCAUCACUGGUGUUCGGGUUGUCAUGCCAAUGGCACUGCCCGGUAGCUAAAUGCGGAAGAGAUAAGUGCUGAAAGCAUCUAAGCACGAAACUUGCCCCGAGAUGAGUUCUCCCUGACUCCUUGAGAGUCCUGAAGGAACGUUGAAG
rnacentral:rRNA from 1 species